rnacentral:misc_RNA from 1 species
GUGAAUCAUCGAAUUUUUGAACGCAAAUUGCACUCUCCUCGGAGAGUAUGCCUGUUUGAGGGUCAGCCUAUAAAAAAUCGACAUAGUUGCUGUUUCGCGGCGGCGUUCGUCGGAAAUUGGGUCAUCUUAAAUCUUUUUGGUUUUUAAGCGUCUUAAUUUUUUCUUUUUGGUUCCAUGAACGUCU